rnacentral:rRNA from 1 species
GUUUAAACUUGAGGGUUUGAUCCUGGCUCAGAAUGAACGCUGGCGGCGUGCCUAACACAUGCAAGUCGUACGAGAAACCCGGCCUUCGGGCUGGGGAGUAAAGUGGCGAACGGGUGAGUAACGCGUAGGUAAUCUGCCCCCGAGUCUGGGAUAACCUCGCGAAAGCGGGGCUAAUACCGGAUAAUA